GAAAUGCGAUAAGUAAUGUGAAUUGCAGAAUUCAGUGAAUCAUCGAAUCUUUGAACGCACAUUGCGCCCGCCAGUAUUCUGGCGGGCAUGCCUGUUCGGGCGUCAUUACAACCCUCAGGCCCCCGGGCCUGGCGUUGGGGAUCGGCGGAAGCCCCCUGCGGGCACAACGCCGUCCCCCAAAUACAGUGGCGGUCCCGCCGCAGCUUCCAUUGCGUAGUAGCUAACACCUCGCAACUGGAGAGCGGCGCGGCCACGCCGUAAAACACCCAACUUCUGAAUGUUGACCUCGAAUCAGGUAGGAAUACCCGCUGAACUUAAGC
rnacentral:misc_RNA from 1 species